rnacentral:rRNA from 1 species
CCGGUAGUCCUGGCCGUAAACGAUGGGUACUAGGUGUAGGAGGUAUCGACCCCUUCUGUGCCGGAGUUAACGCAAUAAGUACCCCGCCUGGGGAGUACGACCGCAAGGUUGAAACUCAAAGGAAUUGACGGGGGCCCGCACAAGCGGUGGAGUAUGUGGUUUAAUUCGACGCAACGCGAAGAACCUUACCAGGUCUUGACAUUGAUGGACAGAACUAGAGAUAGUUCCUCUUCUUCGGAAGCCAGAAAACAGGUGGUGCACGGUUGUCGUCAGCUCGUGUCGUGAGAUGUUGGGUUAAGUCCCGCAACGAGCGCAACCCCUAUCUUAUGUUGCCAGCACGUAAUGGUGGGAACUCAUGAGAGACUGCCGCAGACAAUGCGGAGGAAGGCGGGGAUGACGUCAAAUCAUCAUGCCCCUUAUGACCUGGGCUACACACGUACUACAAUGGGAGUUAAUAGACGGAAGCGAGAUCGCGAGAUGGAGCAAACCCGAGAAACACUCUCUCAGUUCGGAUCGUAGGCUGCAACUCGCCUACGUGAAGUCGGAAUCGCUAGUAAUCGCAGGUCAGCAUACUGCGGUGAAUACGUUCCCGGGCCUUGUACACACCGCCCGUCACACCACGAAAGUCGGAAGUGCCCAAAGCCGGUGGGGUAACCUUCGGGAGCCAGCCGUCUAAGGUAAAGUCGAUGAUUGGGGUGAAGUCGUAACAAGGUAGCCGUAUCGGAAGGUGCGGCUG